rnacentral:rRNA from 1 species
AUUGAACGCUGGCGGCAGGCCUAACACAUGCAAGUCGAGCGGAGCGGCGGACGGGUGAGUAAUGCCUAGGAAUCUGCCUGGUAGUGGGGGAUAACGUCCGGAAACGGGCGCUAAUACCGCAUACUAUCAGAUGAGCCUAGGUCGGAUUAGCUUGUUGGUGGGGUAAAGGCCUACCAAGGCGACGAUCCGUAACUGGGCUGACAGGAUGAUCAGUCACACUGGAACUGAGAAACGGGCCAGACUCCUACGGGAGGCAGAAGUGGGGAAUAUUGGACAAGGGGCGAAAGCCUGAUCCAGCCAUGACGCGGGUAUGAAGAAGGCCUUCGGGUUGUAAAGUACUUUCAGCGGGGAGGCGGUACGGGAAGAAGAAGCACCGGCUAACUCCGUGCCAGCAGCCGCGGUAAUAA